AGUGAGCGCUGGCGGUAGGCCUAACACAUGCAAGUCGAACGGCAGCACAGUAAGAGCUUGCUCUUACGGGUGGCGAGUGGCGGACGGGUGAGGUAUACAUCGGAAUCUACUUUUUCGUGGGGGAUAACGUAGGGAAACUUACGCUAAUACCGCAUACGACCUACGGGUGAAAGCAGGGGUUCUUCGGACCUUGCGCGAUUGAAUGAGCCGAUGUCGGAUUAGCUAGUUGGCGGGGUAAAGGCCCACCAAGGCGACGAUCCGUAGCUGGUCUGAGAGGAUGAUCAGCCACACUGGAACUGAGACACGGUCCAGACUCCUACGGGAGGCAGCAGUGGGGAAUAUUGGACGAUGGGCGCAAGCCUGAUCCAGCCAUACCGCGUGGGUGAAGAAGGCCUUCGGGUUGUAAAGCCCUUUUGUUGGGAAAGAAAAGCAGCAGGUUAAUACCCCGCUGUUCUGACGGUACCCAAAGAAUAAGCACCGGCUAACUUCGUG
rnacentral:rRNA from 1 species